CUACGGGAGGCACCAGUGGGGAAUCUUCCGCAAUGGGCGCAAGCCUGACGGAGCAACGCCGCGUGAGUGAAGAAGGCCUUCGGGUCGUAAAGCUCUGUCUUUAGGGAAGAAAAACUAUGGUGAAAAUAUUGCCAUAGUCUGACGGUACCUGAGGAGGAAGCUCCGGCUAACUACGUGCCAGCAGCCGCGGUAAUACGUAGGGAGCGAGCGUUGUCCGGAAUUACUGGGCGUAAAGGGCGUGUAGGCGGGAAUUUAAGUAAGGUGUGAAAACUACGGGCUCAACUUGGAGACUGCACUUUAAACUGGAUUGCUUGAGGGCAGGAGAGGAAAGUGGAAUUCCUAGUGUAGCGGUGAUAUGCGUAGAUAUUAGGAGGAACAUCAGUGGCGAAGGCGACUUUCUGGACUGCACCUGACGCUGAGGCGCGAAAGCAUGGGUAGCGAACAGGAUUAGAUACCCUUGUAGUC
rnacentral:rRNA from 1 species